rnacentral:tRNA from 1 species
GAGGGUAUAGCUCAAAUGGCAGAGCACAUGCUCAGCAUACACAAGGUCCUGGGUUCAAUCCCCAAUACCUCCU